rnacentral:rRNA from 1 species
GGAUCCUGAGUACGGCGGAACACGAGAAAUUCCGUCGGAAUCCGGGAGGACCAUCUCCCAAGGCUAAAUACUCCCUAGUGACCGAUAGUGAACCAGUACCGUGAGGGAAAGGUGAAAAGCACCCCGGAAGGGGAGUGAAAUAGAACCUGAAACCGUGUGCCUACAACAAGUCAAAGCCCGUUAAUGGGUGAUGGCGUGCCUUUUGUAGAAUGAACCGGCGAGUUACGAUUGCAUGCGAGGUUAAGUUGAAGAGACGGAGCCGCAGCGAAAGCGAGUCUGAAUAGGGCGUUUGAGUAUGUAGUCGUAGACCCGAAACCAUGUGAUCUACCCAUGUCCAGGUUGAAGGUGCGGUAAAACGCACUGGAGGACCGAACCCACGUACGUUGAAAAGUGCGGGGAUGAGGUGUGGGUAGCGGAGAAAUUCCAAACGAACUUGGAGAUAGCUGGUUCUCUCCGAAAUAGCUUUAGGGCUAGCCUCGGAAUUGAGAAUGAUGGAGGUAGAGCACUGUUUGGACUAGGGGCCCAUCUCGGGUUACCGAAUUCAGAU